UACGGAGGGUGCUAGCGUUGUUCGGAUUUACUGGGCGUAAAGGGCGCGUAGGCGGCCAGUCAAGUUGGAAGUUAAAGCCCAGGGCUUAACCCCUGGAAUCGCUUCCAAGACUGUUUGGCUAGAGGACGAUAGAGGAUGGUGGAAUUCCUAGUGUAGAGGUGAAAUUCUUAGAUAUUAGGAGGAACACCGGUGGCGAAGGCGGGUCUCUGGGCCGAUACUGGACGCUGAGGAGCGAAAGCGUGGGGAGCGAACAGGA
rnacentral:rRNA from 1 species